rnacentral:rRNA from 1 species
CCCUUAGAUGUCCUGGGCCGCACGCGCGUUACACUGAUGCAUUCAACGAGCUUAUAACCUUGGCCGAGAGGCCUGGGCAAUCUUGUUAACGUGCAUCGUGAUAGGGAUAGAUUAUUGAAAUUAUUAAUCUUGAACGAGGAAUUCCUAGUAAACGCAGAUCAUCAAUCUGCAUUGAUUACGUCCCUGCCCUUUGUACACACCGCCCGUCGCACCUACCGAUUGGAUGGUCCGGUGAAGCCUCGGGAUUGUGGUUCUUGCCGCUUUAUUGUGGCGUGACCGCGAGAACUUGUCUAAACCUUAUCAUUUAGAGGAAGGAGAAGUCGUAACA